CUGUUAUCCCCACGGUAACUUGUUUUAUCCUUUUUGGGGUUAGGUAAUUUUUUUAAAAAAAAGAUUUAGUUUUUUGACCACCCCAGUCAAAAUAUUAUUUAAAGUUCGACGGGGUCUUGUCGUCUUCUAUAGAAAUUUAAGUCUUUUUACUUAAAUGAAAAUUUUAAGGAAUUAGAAUAAUAAAGAGUCCUACACGUUAAUCCUUUCAUUCUAUCCUUUAAUUAGAAGGCAAAUGAUUAUGCUACCUUAGCACAGAAUUGCGGCUAUUUGAUUAUCAUUGAGCAGGAAGUACUAAUUA
rnacentral:rRNA from 1 species